GACGAACGCUGGCGGCGUGCCUAAUACAUGCAAGUAGAACGCUGAAGAGAAGAGCUUGCUCUUCUUGGAUGAGUUGCGAACGGGUGAGUAACGCGUAGGUAACCUGCCUGGUAGCGGGGGAUAACUAUUGGAAACGAUAGCUAAUACCGCAUAAAAUUGAUUAUUGCAUGAUAAUUAAUUGAAAGAUGCAACUGCAUCACUACCAGAUGGACCUGCGUUGUAUUAGCUAGUUGGUGAGGUAACGGCUCACCAAGGCGACGAUACAUAGCCGACCUGAGAGGGUGAUCGGCCACACUGGGACUGAGACACGGCCCAGACUCCUACGGGAGGCAGCAGUAGGGAAUCUUCGGCAAUGGGGGGAACCCUGACCGAGCAACGCCGCGUGAGUGAAGAAGGUUUUCGGAUCGUAAAGCUCUGUUGUAAGAGAAGAGCGGGUGUGAGAGUGGAAAGUUCACACUG
rnacentral:rRNA from 1 species